GGUGGGCGUUCAGGUUCGUUUUCAGGUUUGUUUGGGAUUUCGUGUUCGGUUCAGAUCUUUGAGGAUUCGGUUCGGAUUUGGAUAACCAGUUUAAAUUGGUUUGUGUUGGAUCCAAUAUUGGUCAGUACAUUAAUGGGCCGCGAUCAAGGACAUGGGCCGUAAGGAACUGAAGUCCAUAACGAACAUACGAACUCAAGAUGAAGCCACGGAGUCUCGGAGAUCGCGGAACAAGAGACGGAGAUCGCGGAGCAGUUACAAAAGUCAC
rnacentral:lncRNA from 1 species